rnacentral:tRNA from 1 species
GACCCCGUAGCUCAGUGGUAGAGCGUGAGAUUCCAGAUAGGUUGAAUUUCCUCAAGGUCAUCCGUUCAAUCCGGGUCGGGGUCA